UGGGGAAUAUUGGACAAUGGGCGAAAGCCUGAUCCAGCCAGGCCGCGUGUGUGAAGAAGGUCUUCGGAUUGUAAAGCACUUUAAGUUGGGAGGAAGGGCAGUAAGCGAAUACCUUGCUGUUUUGACGUUACCGACAGAAUAAGCACCGGCUAACUCUGUGCCAGCAGCCGCGGUAAUACAGAGGGUGCAAGCGUUAAUCGGAAUUACUGGGCGUAAAGCGCGCGUAGGUGGUUCGUUAAGUUGAAUGUGAAAGCCCCGGGCUCAACCUGGGAACUGCAUCCAAAACUGGCGAGCUAGAGUAGGGCAGAGGGUGGUGGAAUUUCCUGUGUAGCGGUGAAAUGCUUAGAUAUAGGAAGGAACACCAGUGGCGAAGGCGACCACCUGGGCUCAUACUGACACUGAGGUGCGAAAGCGUGGGGAGCAAACAGG
rnacentral:rRNA from 1 species